UACGUAGGGCGCAAGCGUUGUCCGGAAUUAUUGGGCGUAAAGAGCUCGUAGGCGGUUUGUCGCGUCUGCUGUGAAAACCUGAGGCUCAACCUCGGGCUUGCAGUGAGUACGGGCAGACUAGAGUGCGGUAGGGGUGACUGGAAUUCUUGGUGUAGCGGUGGAAUGCGCAGAUAUCAGGAGGAACACCGAUGGCGAAGGCAGGUCACUGGGCCGCAACUGACGCUGAGAAGCGAAAGCAUGGGGAGCGAACAGG
rnacentral:rRNA from 1 species